rnacentral:rRNA from 1 species
ACUCAAAGGAAUUGACGGGGACCCGCACAAGCGGUGGAUGAUGUGGAUUAAUUCGAUGCAACGCGAAAAACCUUACCUACCCUUGACAUGCCAGGAAGUUGGCCGAGAGGUCGAUGUGCCCGAAAGGGAACCUGGACACAGGUGCUGCAUGGCUGUCGUCAGCUCGUGUCGUGAGAUGUUGGGUUAAGUCCCGCAACGAGCGCAACCCUUGUCAUUAGUUGCUACAUUUAAGUUGGGCACUCUAAUGAGACUGCCGGUGACAAACCGGAGGAAGGUGGGGAUGACGUCAAGUCCUCAUGGCCCUUAUGGGUAGGGCCUCACACGUCAUACAAUGGCGCAUACAGAGGGUUGCCAACCCGCGAGGGGGAGCCAAUCCCAGAAAGUGCGUCGUAGUCCGGAUCGGAGUCUGCAACUCGACUCCGUGAAGUCGGAAUCGCUAGUAAUCGCGGAUCAGCAUGUCGCGGUGAAUACGUUCCCGGGUCUUGCACACACCGCCCGU